rnacentral:rRNA from 1 species
UUCUUGAAAAUUAAAGAUUUUGGCGGUAUUUUAGUCUAUUUAGAGGAACCUGUCCUAUAAUCGAUAAUCCACGAUUUAUUUUACUUAUUUUAAAUAAAUUUGCAUAUCGCCGUAGUUUGAAUAUUUUUAAAAAAAAAUAAUGUUCAAUAAUUUUUCUUAGAAAAGAAUUCAGGUCAAGAUGUAGUUUAUAAAUAAGAAGAGAUGGGUUACAAUAAAUUUAUUUAUAUGAAUUAAUAAAUGAAAUUUUAUUAUAAAAGUGGAUUUAAGGGUAAAUUUAUUUAAUUUAAUAAAUUGAUUUUAGCUCUAAAAUAUGUACAUAUCGCCCGUCGCUUUCAUUAUAAAAUGAAAUAAGUCGUAACAAAGUAGGGGUACUGGAAAGUGUUCCUAGAAAGAUCAAUUUGGAGCUUGAUAAAGCAUUUUAUUUACAUUAAAAAGUUUAUUGUACAAUCAAUAUGAAUUGAAUAAAAAAUUUUAUUUAAUAUAAAUUUUUUUUAUUAUUUAAAAUAAAUAUAUUUUAUUUUUAUUAAUUUUUAUGAAUAAAUAAAGUUAAUUAUAGAUUAAUAGUAUUGUGAAAGAAUAAUUAUUUAUUUUAAAAAGAAAAAUUUAAUUUUUGUACCUGGGUAUCAGGGUUUUUUAAAAAAUGAUUUAAAAUUUAAUUUUUCUCGAAAUUAAUAAGGGUUAUAAUUAUAUAUUUUUUUUUGUUGAAUAAAAAUUAUAAAUAUAAUUAUAGAAAUGAAACACUAUUCGAUUAUUAAUAUAUCUAGUUUUUAAAGAAAAAAAUUUAAUUUUUUUAUUAAUUUAAUAUAUAUUUUAUUUAUUAAGUUUAUAUUAUUAAUAUUUUAUAUUUUAAGGGAUGAGCUUUAAAGUAAAUUUUUUUAAAAUAAAGUGCUAAAUUUAUUAAGUAGAAUUGUAAGUUUUUAUCUUUAAAAGUGUGUUAUAACUAUUUUAGUUUUAUAUAAGAUUUAUAUUUUAUUUUAAAUUUUUUUAUUUAAAUAAAAAUUUUAUUUUUAAAAAUUUUGGGAUAAUGAUAAAAUUAGUAUAAUAUUUUUUGUUUUAAUUUAUAAAAAUGAAAGGUUAAGUAAAGGAAUUCGGCAAAUAUAUUUUUCACCUGUUUAUUAAAAACAUGGCCUUUUGAAAAUAAUUUAAGGUCUGGCCUGCCCACUGAGUAAUUAAAUGGCCGCGGUAAUUUGACCGUGCAAAGGUAGCAUAAUAAUUAGUUUUUUAAUUGAAAGCUGGAAUGAAAGGUCGGAUGAAAAAAUAACUGUCUCUAUUUAAAUUGAUUAAAAUUUUAUUUUUAAGUAAAAAAGCUUAAAUUUAUAUAAAAGACGAGAAGACCCUAUAGAGUUUUAUUAAUUUUUUUUUAAAAAUUAUUAGAAUUGAU